rnacentral:rRNA from 1 species
AUUGAACGCUGGCGGCAUGCUUUACACAUGCAAGUCGAACGGUAACAGGCCGCAAGGUGCUGUCGAGUGGCGAACGGGUGAGUAAUGCAUCGGAACGUGCCCAGUCGUGGGGGAUAACUACUCGAAAGAGUAGCUAAUACCGCAUACGAUCUAUGGAUGAAAGCGGGGGACCGUAAGGCCUCGCGCGAUUGGAGCGGCCGAUGUCAGAUUAGGUAGUUGGUGGGGUAAAGGCUCACCAAGCCAACGAUCUGUAGCUGGUCUGAGAGGACAACCAGCCACACUAGGACUUAGACACGGCCCAAACUCCUACGGGAUGCAGCAGUUGGGAAUUUUUGACAAUGGGCGCAAACCUGGUCCAGCCAUGCCGCGUUCAGGAAGAAGGCCUUCGGGUUGUUAACUUCUUUUGUACGGAACGAAACGGCUCUGGUUAAUACCCGGGGCUAAUGACGGUACCGUAAGAAUAAGCACCGGCUAACUACGUG